rnacentral:lncRNA from 1 species
UUUUUUUUUUUUUUUUUUUUUUUUUGCGAUUUUUGCGAUUUUUGGUGUCCCUUGGAACAGGAUGACUAGGUAGCUGGGUUGCUUUCUUCAAAGAAAAAUCUUCAAAGCUUUAGAAUUCUAAUUUGCACCCAAUCCUCUUUACCUUUAAACAUAAUUUCAAAAGAAAGAGAUUCAAUGCCUCCAAACAUGAUAUUUUAACUUCUACCAGACUGAAAAAGUUGAUAAAUGUAUUAAAGUAACGUGAAAAUAUAGAUUUAGAGAGACACAUGUCUCAGAGUUUAGAUCACUUUGAGUCAGUUUUAUAAUAUAAAAAACCUUCUAAGCACAUAGGAGCUUCCUGUGAAAAUAGGUUAAAGUAUGUGGACAUUUUCUUUUCUGCUUCUAAAAAGCCUUUCUUGCUCAGUGGGGGUGGAGAGGAUGGGACUAUGCUAAGGAAAAAUGACCAAAAUUAUAAAUAAUUCAGUCACCCAGAUGUGUUUGUUUUUAACAUGUUUUGAAUGUUCAGCUGGUGCUAGAAAAUGCACUUAGGAUUUUGUCCCUGAAAGCUUCCUACAUACGGAUACCUAAGACUCCUGUAGAAUUGAUUGAUGAACAAUGAAUAUGUCCUGUUAUCUUCUUUUUCUAGAAAUAGUAGAACACGCAGGGCAGGUCUCUGCCCUAGAGACUUGCCUGUCUGUUCAUUCACAGCACUCCUCCUUGUAGGCUGAGAUUUCCCUGGGGCAGAAUACAAGGACUUCUCUUCCGUCUUGCUUAGAAAAGGCUCUUAGGAACCAGUUGUGUUUGGCAUUGUGUUGGGGGAGGAAGGAGUUGUAGGGACAGUUCCUGGGGGGAGAAGGGAUCCUAGCUAUGCUCGGUUCUGACUUCUCAAUGGGAAAUAAAAAGCACAUUGGAUUUUAUCCACUUUCUUGGUAAGUUAAGACAGCUUCACUCUUGGUCAGGAUUCAAGACUCUGGGUCAUUUUAUUAACCAAAUUAUAAACAUUUCUCUUCCCUGUUCCUUAAGAGGAGUUGCUGAGGGAGUCAGGGGGAAAGACAUUCAAUUCAGCAGAAUGCUUCUUAUCCCUCUUCGUUGUUUUUCCAUCGGGAGUCAUUAAGUAUUAUGGGAGGAAGGCUUUAGUCACCUCUGUAGAGGAAGUAAGAUGGGAUUUCAGAGGACAAUUCCUUUUCAAAUUUGUAAUGUUUUACGAUGAGGACAUAUUUAAAAGAGUGAUAAAAAAAUUUUGGAGCAAGUUAAUUUUCUUUUAAGUAAUAGAGGACAUGUGAGACUCAGAGCAGUUUAGACUCUUACACAUAUAGAGUUACCCACAGUGUGUUUGCCCUGCAUUUGGGAAUAUGGCAAGACUUUAAUUCCAGGGACAUAAUUGAAUAUUUUUUGCAAGUCAUAAAUAAAGAAGGCCAAGGAAAUGUAGUGGAUUUAUUUUCAAUGUAUCACAAUGUAACUGUGUGUGCCAAUAUAAUUUAAACCUUUGUUGC